UCCCUGGGCACUGUGAGUAUGAAGAUCCCGGAGUUCAGAGGAGACUGUUUAGAAGCCCUCCAAUUCACCAGGACGCUAGACUUCAUCACAGGAAGUUUAAGAUUUUCCAUUUCUUUGUCCCGCUUACAUGAAGUUGAACCACCAAGUUCGUGAUGAUCCACAAAGGCAGCAACAGAAAAAUACAAGAAAAAAAGAGCAUUAGAUGCUAUUCCUUCUCCUCCCAGUAAAAUCAGCACAGCAACGUGUUUCACCAACAGCACUGAAGAUAUUGGAUGAAGCCUCAUUGUAAACAGUCAGCGCAAUAAUAAUAGAUGCACCAUGUGUAUCUGUGAAGCACCAUCUUGAUGGUUUUUUCUG
rnacentral:lncRNA from 1 species